UGUGUUUGUUGGCAGUCUGUAUGUGUUCUUUGGAGAAAUGUCUAUUUAGGUCUUCUGCCCAUUUUUGGAUUGUGUAACCACCUUUUUAUAAAAGGUUAAUGAGGAAGCAAGUCAAGCCUUUACACGAUUUCCUUCCUUUAAAACAUUUUCGAAAAACAGAACAGCUCAGCCUACUGACAGAACUUAGGAAAGAGAGGAAUAAUAAUGUUAACUUACUAGGGGUCUGGGACUGUGCUAGUUGCUGUACGGGGAUUCUCAUUCGAUGCUUCCUACAACACUCUAAGAUAGAUACUACUAUCCACUACUCCCCCUUCAUCCUACAGGUGAGAAACUAAGCUUCACAGAAGCCAAAGAACUUGCCUAAAGUUAAACACCAGUAAACAGCAAAGCCUGAACACGAGCCUGGGUCUUCCUAGCUCUGCAUCUGCACUUUUAACCACUAUGAGUACGACACUGGAAGGGAAGAAUGGAGGUGGGAAUAGAAAAAUGACAUUCCUUCCUCCUUAUGUAGGUAUCGGUUAGAAUCCAGGAAAGAACCACUGCAGGUUCUUUGCUUCAUUUGAAAGUUACCAGUCCGUGUGGGUGCGCAUGUAUGUUUGGAUGUACUCAGAAACAUACACAACGUAUGCACGCACACACACUGCAAAUCUUCCCACACUGUAAAUGUCUCCCAGGCUCUAUGUGGGCCUUGCUUAAAGGUCACCCAACAGGCCCCAAGGAAAAGAAGGGCUUGGUUUAAAAAGCUUUAUAUUUCCUCUCACUUUUUCAAACACUGGAAAAUCCAUUUGGCUCAGAGAAAUGAAUAGUAAAAGGAGUUCUAACUACUUAGAGCCAACAAAACAUAACGGAAAAAAGGCAAGAAUAUGGCUGGACUUUAUUUUCUUUUUGCUCAGCACAUCCUGUCUUUAAUCUGAAUGGUAAAUAGGCCAUGCCAACAUACUAACUCUUUUUAGGUGAAAUUAUCUAGGUUAUGAAAACAAGCAACAACUGUGUUUUCAUUAUUCUUUAAUUCGUGGCUGACAGAAAUAGCUUCCAAAAUAAAUCAGAGAGGCAAAUAUUGCUCACAAGGGAGAAACCCACAAAUUUUCCCUCCUUUGAUAAUGGAUUUUUGUGAAUUUUUUUUUCUUUCCCUUGAAUUAUAAUUGUGUGGUAUUAUCUGAAAGAGUGUGUUGCAAAAGCUAGAAAAGGGGAAUUUGAAUUUUCAUAUUUGCAUUAUUUAAAUCCAUGGGGGAGGGUGGGGAGAGAGAGAGAGACUUUUUCCAUAUUAUUCAUUAUUAAUUAACAUCCCUGAGAUAUUUAACUUUCAAGUACAACAAGGAAUUUUACAACACCUCCCUCUGUAACCCCACAAUAUCUUUGGCUCCGUGACGCACCUAAUGAUUCAUGACUUAAGUCAGGCUAGUGAGAGCUCCACCCAUCUUUGUCCAUAUAUUUAGCUUCCCUUGCUUCAUACUAUACUUUCUUCUCUAUGUUAAAUCUGAGCAAACAGUCUAACAGAAACCAUCUUCUCAAACAGAACAUGGUAAAGCUUCUUUUAACAAGAAACUAGACACAUCGAUGGAUUAUUUGAAGCAACAUCUGUCCCCUUCCUUUCUCUGGAUGUCAUUUAAAUCAAGAAUUACAUCCAUGGGGAUUAGCAAAGGUCCUGAAGCGAUGUGAGAAAGUCAAAGAAAACAGUUUUGAAGCACAGCACUCAGAAACAAAGUAAGACCAAAGGAAACUGAAGCUGCCCCGUGAUGACAAGGCCGUUUCCUUACUUCCUGCGAAGCAACACACGCUGACAAGAUGAGGAAGAACCAGCAUAAACAUCACUUACUGAAGCCUCCUUCUGUCCACCCAACUAUCAGUGUAACAUCCUGGUCCCUACACUCCUAACCUCCUGCUCUGCUUUUUUUCUAAGCCCCUAUUACCCACUAGUAUGUAACUUACCUAUCCAGUAUGCUAAUUAUUUAUUAUGUAACUCCUUUGAUAGCAUGUAAGUUCCUAAGAGCAAGGAUCUAUGCUGGGUUUUGUUUCUUUAACUGAUAAAUCGCGGUGCCUAGAACAGUUCCCGGAACACACAAAUGCUGCUCACUAGAUAUCUGUUGAAUAAAGGGAUAAAUGAUACUA